CAUUUAUGUAUUCCGACAUACGAUGAUCCUCAGUGCAUAUGCGCAGUCGCAGCAAGAGCCGGAAGAGACGUCUUUGUAAUAAACUUCUGUGAAGGUAACAGCUUCAUAAACUUUGAACUUUGUGAAGACAAUGUCUUAAAAGCAACAAAAGUCAACGACAUGUAAUACAAGAUAUUUUUUCCAACUGGCACGUCUUUGUCCAUUUAUAUUCUGAAGUGGAGUGGUCAUUUUAACAUCGACAUUGACAUUUUCCCCACAGUUAUUGACAUAGAAAAUGUAGACGGUUUAUGUGGAUAUUUUGAUGGUGCCACAGAAAAUGACCUGAGGUGGCGAAACGGUUCUGUUACAGAUGAGGCUGGUUUCAUAUAUCCAAACGACUUCUCUAAUUCUUGGAGAGUAAGAGAUAAUGAAAACUUAUUUAACGGUGAUGCCGACGUUUACGAUAAUUUGGAGUCUUUAUCAACCAUAUCAGUGCCGCAUUGUACUUGUACGGAAGAUG